GUGGGGAAUCUUAGACAAUGGGGGAAACCCUGAUCUAGCCAUGCCGCGUGAGCGAUGAAGGCCUUAGGGUUGUAAAGCUCUUUCAGAUGGGAAGAUAAUGACGGUACCAUCAGAAGAAGCCCCGGCUAACUCCGUGCCAGCAGCCGCGGUAAUACGGAGGGGGCUAGCGUUGUUCGGAAUUACUGGGCGUAAAGCGCACGUAGGCGGACCAGAAAGUCAGAGGUGAAAUCCCAGGGCUCAACCUUGGAACUGCCUUUGAAACUCCUGGUCUUGAGGUCGAGAGAGGUGAGUGGAAUUCCGAGUGUAGAGGUGAAAUUCGUAGAUAUUCGGAGGAACACCAGUGGCGAAGGCGGCUCACUGGCUCGAUACUGACGCUGAGGUGCGAAAGCGUGGGGAGCAAACAGGAUUAGAUACCCCGGUAGUCC
rnacentral:rRNA from 1 species